GCGGUGAAAACUACGGCAGUGCCUUGUCCAUCUCAACGGAUAACCUUAAGUGGUUUACAACUGCUGGUGGUGUUACCAUGAAAAUGCUCAGCUGUUUUCCGCCUCAACGUCUCCACUGUGUCUUCAGUGUCAGCCCACUCCAGAACGAGG